UACGUAGGGGGCAAGCGUUGUCCGGAUUUAUUGGGCGUAAAGAGCGUGUAGGCGGUCAGGUAGGUCCGUUGUGAAAACUCGAGGCUCAACCUCGAGACGCCGAUGGAAACCAUGUGACUAGAGUCCGGAAGAGGAGAGUGGAAUUCCUGGUGUAGCGGUGAAAUGCGCAGAUAUCAGGAAGAACACCCGUGGCUAAGGCGGCUCUCUAGUACGGUACUGACGCUGAGACGCGAAAGCGUGGGGAGCGAACAGG
rnacentral:rRNA from 1 species